UACGAAGGGGGCUAGCGUUGCUCGGAAUUACUGGGCGUAAAGGGAGCGUAGGCGGAUAGUUUAGUCAGAGGUGAAAGCCCAGGGCUCAACCUUGGAAUUGCCUUUGAUACUGGCUAUCUUGAGUACGGAAGAGGUAUGUGGAACUCCGAGUGUAGAGGUGAAAUUCGUAGAUAUUCGGAAGAACACCAGUGGCGAAGGCGGCUCACUGGCCCGAUACUGACGCUGAGGCACGAAAGCGUGGGGAGCAAACAGG
rnacentral:rRNA from 1 species